UUGGAGGGCAAGUCUGGUGCCAGCAGCCGCGGUAAUUCCAGCUCCAAUAGCGUAUAUUAAAGUUGUUGCAGUUAAAAAGCUCGUAGUUGAAUUUCGGGAUCAAUAUGUUGGUCGUGCCUUGGUACGUACUAUCUUAUUGGUUUCUCCCUUCUGACGAACCAUGAUGUCAUUAAUUUGGUGUCAUGGGGAAUCAGGAUUGUUACUUUGAAAAAAUUAGAGUGUUUAAAGCAGGCUCACGCUUGAAUAUAUUAGCAUGGAAUAAUGAAAUAGGACGUUUGAUUCUAUUUUGUUGGUUUCUAGGAUCGAUGUAAUGAUUAAUAGGGACAGUUGGGGGCAUUAGUAUUCAAUUGUCAGAGGUGAAAUUCUUGGAUUUAUUGAAGACUAACUACUGCGAAAGCAUUUGCCAAGGAUGUUUUCAUUAAUCAAGAACGAAAGUUAGGGGAUCGAAGACGAUCAGAUACCGUCGUAGUCUUAACCAUAAACUAUGCCGACUAGGGAUCGGAUGAUGUUAAUUUUUUAAUGACUCAUUCGGCGCCUUACGGGAAACCAAAGUGUUUGGGUUC
rnacentral:rRNA from 1 species